GACAGAGGGUGCAAACGUUGUUCGGAAUCACUGGGCGUAAAGCGCGUGUAGGCGGCUUCUCAAGUCGGGUGUGAAAUCCCAGGGCUCAACCCUGGAAGUGCAUUCGAAACUGGGUAGCUAGAGUACUGGAGAGGAAGGUGGAAUGCUUGGUGUAGAGGUGAAAUUCGUAGAUAUCAAGCGGAACACCGGUGGCGAAGGCGGCCUUCUGGACAGAUACUGACGCUGAGACGCGAAAGCGUGGGGAGCAAAC
rnacentral:rRNA from 1 species